AACGAACGCUGGCGGCAUGCCUAACACAUGCAAGUCGAACGAGACCUUCGGGUCUAGUGGCGCACGGGUGCGUAACGCGUGGGAACCUGCCUUUAGGUUCGGAAUAACUCAGAGAAAUUUGAGCUAAUACCGGAUAAUGUCUUCGGACCAAAGAUUUAUCGCCUUUAGAUGGGCCCGCGUUGGAUUAGCUAGUUGGUGGGGUAAAGGCCUACCAAGGCGACGAUCCAUAGCUGGUCUGAGAGGAUGAUCAGCCACACUGGGACUGAGACACGGCCCAGACUCCUACGGGAGGCAGCAGUGGGGAAUAUUGGACAAUGGGCGAAAGCCUGAUCCAGCAAUGCCGCGUGAAGUGAUGAAGGCCUUAGGGUUGUUAAAGCUCUUUUACCCGAGAUGAUAAUGACAGUAUC
rnacentral:rRNA from 1 species